GCAGGCGUGGGGCUAGACAAUGACUGGCAAUAGCCUUAUACUGAGAUCACAUGACUGACCCCCGAGAGCCAGGUCUUCUGAGAGAUAUCAAAGGCAGCCUCAGGAGUGGGGAGAGGCUGGAGAUGGCGACCUGCAAAGAGGCUACUGACGGACUCCAGGGAGGAACCAGCAGGCAUCCAGUCUUGAUGUGAAGACAGACAGAGAUGAAGAAUCCACCGCUCCCACUGAUAGUUUGUUCCAAAGGUGAAUCACCCUCUCUGUUUUUUGCCUUAUUUCUAAUUUGAAUGUGUCUGGUUAUAACCUCUAUCCAUUGGAAGUCACCUCUUGAAAUUAUUUAUGAUAAACUAA